CUUGCUAUUCAUUCAUGUGAGAAGGUAAGGAAGGCAAUGGUUAGUGGUGUAAAAGGGCUUUUGUCUAGUUGCAGUUCUACAUUAAAAAGAACCAAGAUGCUACUUUUGGAAUGUUUAUGUGUUCUGGCAUGUGAUGAUGCUGCAGCUGUGUCUGAGGCUGCACAAGAUGCUCUUGAUCAUCUUUUCAACCAAGGCCACAAUCACGUAACAGAAAAUGAGAUUUCUGAUACCUUUACUAGGCUGGUUGAAAGGCUACCACAAGUGGUACUUGGAAGCGAGGAGACAACUGCACUUUCACAUGCUAGGAUGUUGUUGGCUCUGACCUUUUAUGCUGGUCCCUAGUUUCUAAUAAAUCAUCUUCACCGUUCUCCUGUCAUUGCUGCUCGUUUCUUUGAUUGUUUGGGUUUAUGCAUAGGUCAUAGCUCACAGUUUUCUGGUUCCAUGGACAAGCUAAUUGUAUCAAAGCCACUAUCUAUUGGGUAUCUUUAUUCAGUUGCUGAGUUGAAGAGUGGCGCCUAUUCUAAAGAUACAACUAACAUAUCUCUGCAUGCCACGUCAACAUCUGCAGCCUCCAAAAUAUCUGUUAUCCAUGAUAAUGCUUUGCCAAAUGCAUUACUUGGUACAGUUGAAUAUGAGUUGCCCCAUGUGCCUCCAUGGUUUUUUCAUGCUGGUAGCCAGAAGCUUUAUGGGGUUCUUGCUGGAAUAAUUAGACUUGUUGGCCUAUCAACAGUGUCAGGUACCUUGUGAAUUAUUUUGCUUGUCAAAUCUACGAUUCAUGGACUGUUCUAUUUUUUCAUGCUGAGUCAGUACUAAACCAAAGAUCAUAACCCUUUCCUAAGAGGAACCCAACAAUAUGUAACUAAAAUUUAUUAUCAGUUCCCUUUAUCUUUAUCUGUUCAUGACUUUGCUUAUUGUUUCCUACUCAAGAUGGUCGUGCAUGGAGCUUUGUUCGACACCAAUGGCACAAUAUGUUCUCUACAUAUUACAAUAUGCAGUUGAUGGGUUCGAUUCCUUAAAGCUAACAGUAGUGGUUACUAGCCCUUGAAAAAUAAAUUUUGGACAACCAAAUUUCAUAGCAGCUUUGACUACUGUUGAAGUUGAUCUUUUUACUACUUUAGAUUGUCGUUGAUGUAAAUGUUCUUAGUGGUGCUUUGAGAUGACUAAGGAUCUAUAUCUGUCUUAAGAUUUGUCUUUUCCUUACAAGUGAAGAGAUUGCGUGGUUCAAUGAAGUAAUAACCUAUGAUCUAUGGGCCAGGUCUUUGAUGAGUACCUUAACUUGCAGGAUAGCAUACUCAUAUAGUAAUAUUGUUGCUUGUUGCUCUUAACAAAUUUCAUUCAGGAACUGGGCCAUGUUGAUGUUCAAAAGAGUUGUCAGAAGUUCAUGACAUCUGGUAUUUAUUAUAUCUUCUUUUGUAGUGGGCUGGUGUGGUCUGCUUAGCAGCAGGUAGCACUACAACCAGCAAUGUAUGGAUGAAUUGAAGAUAGUAAAGAACGCAGGCAAUCUUAUAGAAACUCUGCAUCUUGAAACUGGCAUGAUUGACAAAGAAGCUGGAUGCAUCCUUUGGAUUGGUGUCUUCUUAUCAUCAAGCAGUAAUGUGAAGCAAGUUCAUUUGUUGACUAAGAAUAGAUGAGCACAAAUCAGUGAAGAGUUCAUUGCACUAGAGAUGGAGGAUGGAUAGGUGGUAGAUUUCAAUAUGGCUUUGAUACUAUUGUUUCUCUUUACAAUCUUUGUACAGAACAAGAAAAAUGACGUUGUAUGUGGAUACUAUUGUAAUUCAAGAAUUUAUUUCUGAAUAAUAAAUAUAUUUGUUUAUAAUUUGUGUA